rnacentral:tRNA from 1 species
ACCGAAAUAACUAAGUUGGGAGAGCGUUAGACUACAAAUUGAAAGGUCCCUGGUUCGAUCCCGGGAUUCGGCA